rnacentral:rRNA from 1 species
GACGAACGCUGGCGGCGUGCUUAACACAUGCAAGUCGAACGAAGAGCGAUGGAAGCUUGCUUCUAUCAAUCUUAGUGGCGACCGGGUGAGUAACGCGUAAUCAACCUGCCCUUCAGAGGGGGACAACAGUUGGAAACGACUGCUAAUACCGCAUACGAUCUAACCUCGGCAUCGAGGAAAGAUGAAAGGUGGCCUCUAUGUAUAAGCUAUCACUGAAGGAGGGGAUUGCGUCUGAUUAGCUAGUUGGAGGGGUAACGGCCCACCAAGGCGAUGAUCAGUAGCCGGUCUGAGAGGAUGGACGGCCACAUUGGGACUGAGACACGGCCCAGACUCCUACGGGAGGCAGCAGUGGGGAAUCUUCCGCAAUGGACGAAAGUCUGACGGAGCAACGCCGCGUGAGUGAUGACGGCCUUCGGGUUGUAAAGCUCUGUUAAUCGGGACGAAAGGCCUUCUUGCGAAUAGUGAGAAGGAUUGACGGUACCGGAAUAGAAAGCCACGGCUAACUACGUG